rnacentral:lncRNA from 1 species
GGGAGGGUGAGCCAUGGCAGGGCGAGGUCUUCCAUUAUGAUAUAUUCCGCACCCCCCGACUCUCCGUGUCUCCACCGGUACCAUGACGCUCGCCCCCUAGCCCCUACAAGAACGACCCCACUCCAUUGACGUCGGAGGUGGAGGUGGAGGUGGAGGCUUUCUUGGAUGUAAAUAUGGUCUCAGAGUAGGAGCGGGAGCGAGCGAGCAGCAGGGAAGGUCUGGGGAGGGGGAGCCAUGAUAAGAUGUGUUGGGAUAAGUCAAUCGAUCUCUGACUCAAGUCAACCGACUACCGACUUCGAUUUAACCAAAGCCGACC